AACGAACGCUGGCGGCAUGCCUAACACAUGCAAGUCGAACGAGACUUUCGGGUCUAGUGGCGCACGGGUGAGUAACGCGUGGGAACCUGCCCUUAGGUUCGGAAUAACCCCCCGAAAGGGGUGCUAAUACCGGAUAAUGUCUUCGGACCAAAGAUUUAUCGCCUUUGGAUGGGCCCGCGUUGGAUUAGCUAGUUGGUAGGGUAAAAGCCUACCAAGGCGACGAUCCAUAGCUGGUCUGAGAGGAUGAUCAGCCACACUGGGACUGAGACACGGCCCAGACUCCUACGGGAGGCAGCAGUGGGGAAUAUUGGACAAUGGGCGAAAGCCUGAUCCAGCAAUGCCGCGUGAGUGAUGAAGGCCUUAGGGUUGUAAAGCUCUUUUACCCGGGAUGAUAAUGACAGUACCGGGAGAAUAAGCUCCGGCUAACUCCGUG
rnacentral:rRNA from 1 species